rnacentral:miRNA from 1 species
ACAACUCCCACAAUCCUUUGUC